rnacentral:misc_RNA from 1 species
AGAGAGAAGAAAGAAAGGGAUGGCACUAGAGGCUGUGGUGUAUCAACAAGACCUGUUUGGUCACAGUAGCAAAGAACUCUACAAUUUGCUAGGAGGGAGUUGGAGCUAUGAUGACUUUAGCCUGGAAAAGGAAGAUUAUGAUAAAGCUUGCUCUUUUAAUAGUUUUCUCGAGAAUCAAUCAGAAAAUUUCCUUCAUGGGGAUUGGAAGUACUCUUCUUCACCACCACCUUCCGUGUUCUCUCAUUUCAGUGAAAUGCGACAAAUUAACACAUCCCCAGAUGCUGAAAAUGCCAAAAAUGGACUAACUACUGCUGCUUCUGCUACUGAUCACUUACUGGAUCACUCUCCCUCAUCCACGAUGCCU